GGGAAAGUGGCUCAGUGGUAGAGUGCUUGCAUCACAUGCAUGAGGUCCUGGGUUCGAAUCCUCAGCACCA
rnacentral:tRNA from 1 species